GGUUUGUUACAGGUGCUUGGCUCUUGCUUGUGCAACAACUUUCACCUGGCUUACCUCUUCAGUAGCGCGUCAAGACUGUUGUCUUAGCGCAUUGUGGGUUUCCUGUGUUGCCUACCUAAGUCAUGGUAUUGUUUGGAUCGAAAUUUGUCCCUUUUCGUCUUUGUGUUACACUUGUAGCCUUGGAUGAACUUUGUAAAGCAUUUCUAUGGUUCACAUUGUUGUUGCUUAUGCGUUGAUGUUGUGGCCCUUAGAGCAAUGCUUGGUCUUUAGGAUACAGAACCUGAUGUAGGCAUGGGGUUUUCUUUGGAACCUUGUUCUGCCUUUGUUUAGUUCGAUGCAUCUCAAAAAUGACUGCUCGUCAUGUAAUGGCUCGUACCAGCAUGGCGGGUUGUGUCAAAGAGGAAUGCUACCUGGUUGAUCCUGCCAGUAGUCA
rnacentral:misc_RNA from 1 species